GGGUGUAAAAUAACCCCAACCGAAGUUUGUAAAUGGUCAACCCUUCCAGGGUUUUUCCAGCUUCCGACCUUGUGUGGCGUCUUUCUGAACUCCCUCGACCAUCUGAGCUUCAAUAAUGCCAUCCGGGCUUAUCCAAUCAUGAGCUUCUCCAUUCAUCUACCUGAUUGCUCCAAACGCCCUCUGAACUCCUCUAUCAGUUGAUUUUCUACAGUGAUCGACUAUUCUUCGAAUCCCUUCUAGACUUCUUUCGGCCAUGG
rnacentral:lncRNA from 1 species